rnacentral:lncRNA from 1 species
UACAAAUAUUGUAUAUAUUAUUGUAGAACUCUUAGGGUUUGCUGAAAUAGAAGUUGCAUUUGACCACAACAGCAAACAUGAUGACAGAUAACUCAAUUUCUGAUAGUUUGAGAAAUUUUGAACAUUUGUUUUUUGAUAUUACAGUAUAGCUCUUUAAGUCAAGUCGUUGAUGGUUUGAGCAAUUUAAUUAUUUCCUUUCAUAUAAAUUUUUAUCUAAAAGAUUCUCUUCCAAUCUCUUGGUAAUUUCUUACUUUCCAUUUAUUUUCUUUUAAUACGCUUGUUAAUGAAGUUAUCUCUUGAUCUUCGAAGGCCUUUCCUUAUGAAGAAUGCCAUCAAAUCAUUUUCUAUUAUGAUCAUCUGUGCUAACUAGUUCAUAUAUGGAUUAGAAAAUUGAACAAAAGGUGCACAAAAAAUGGUAUUGUCAUACAAGGUCUGAUUUGUGUGAUUUAACAGGAAGUAAAGCCAUGUACUUGGACAUACUUAUUUCCAUUUCUACAAUUGUCAUUUUCAAAUUCCUACUAGGUUUUUCAGGUUUUAUCUUAUUUAAAAGAAAGAUUUAGUUUUUAUUCUCUCUCUUGUAAGGAGAAUAUCCGUACAAAUGUUUUUAACACCGCCGAUGUCGGUCCCAAGCCCGAAUGAAAAAGGUGGAGGGUUGUGGAAGGCCGCUAAGAAGCAGCUUGAAAAACAUUUGAGAACUCAUAUGCAUGAUCUUAACUUUUUCGUAAUAAACCUAGGUCAUCAUUGAGAUUAGAUGUGAGACAAGAUUGUUUAGAAGAAAACUAUGAUAUUAUCAGCUGGGACUAAUCAUUUGCUCACGAGACAUGAGACAUCUGGUCUAAGGGUAAACCCUAUGUAUCUGAGAGGAAAAUUAGAUAUCUUGUCGUUCAGUAUAUUGGCAGAUUUGCGAUAAUUUGAAUUUUCAAGACCCAACAUCACUAUCUAUUUUUCGACCAGAUACUCUAAAAUCAUUCAGUACUUUCAGAUUUACCAAUUAUUGUUCUUUGAUCUCACAAAACACAUAGAAUCAUCCUCUUAUUUCAGGUUGAUCAUGUUACUAGAGGAUCUGCACGGCCCAAACUUAUCUGACCUUGCCUGAUCUUAGUAUUGUGCAAAACAUGUCAAGCUCAAGAAGAAACAGCAGAAAGAUCAGUUCUUCAUGGCAAAUCAUUAAUCCUUAUUUUGUUAGAUGAGUAGCUUCUCUUUUGAAUGUAGAUAACUUUCUUGAACUCCUUGAAUUACUGGUCAAAUUCCUGCUAUAGGCAUUAAUUAGAUAUUUGGACUUCUUCGGACACUAUAGAUCAUUACAGUGUCUGUAACUGUAAAUAAAUUUUCUCUCAAUAUGUCACUCAAACUUCGUAGCUAUUUUGUUUCUUUUUUUGGCUGUAAUCUUUACAUGUUUCCAUAGUAUCUUUUUAUGUAUUUCAAUGUCAUUUGUGCAAAUAUGUUUUUUGUUUACAAAUUAAUUAAUGUGACAAGAAAUUGUAGCUUAAGGAGAUGGGUGGAAAUGGUAGCCUAACCAGAAGC